UGUGAAAUUUUUAAUUACUUGUAAAUUCUCUUAUAAUCUCUUGGAACUAAGAAAUUUAGAUUAAAAACCAGGAUUAGAUACCCUGUUAUUCUAAAUAAUCACAUGAGUAGGGUAGUAAAAGUUGUUCUUCAAACCCAAAGAUUUUGGCGGCAUUCCAUCCCAAUAGAGGAGCUUGUCCUGUAAUUGAUAGACCUCAUUUUAUCUUACCCUCUUUUGUUUAGCUUGUAUACCGCCGUUGUCAGACUACUUUAAAAGAAUGUUUUCUAUAAAAAUAUUUUUUUCACUUCAGGUCAAGGUGCAGCUUAUGGGAGGGUAGCGAUGAGCUACAAUUUUAAAUAAAAAUACGGACUCUAGGCUUAAAAACUGGAGGAAGGUGGAUUUAUUAGUAAAUUUAUUUAAGUAUAAUAAAUUGAAUAAGGCAAUGGAA
rnacentral:rRNA from 1 species